GAUGAACGCUGGCGGCGUGCCUAAUACAUGCAAGUCGAGCGAACGGACGAGAAGCUUGCUUCUCUGAUGUUAGCGGCGGACGGGUGAGUAACACGUGGAUAACCUACCUAUAAGACUGGGAUAACUUCGGGAAACCGGAGCUAAUACCGGAUGAUAUUUUGAACCGCAUGGUUCAAAAGUGAAAGACGGUCUUUCUGUCACUUAUAGAUGGAUCCGCGCUGCAUUAGCUAGUUGGUAAGGUAACGGCUUACCAAGGCAACGAUGCAUAGCCGACCUGCGAGAGUGAUCGGCCACACUGGAACUGAGACACGGUCCAGAGUCCUACGGGAGGCAGCAGUAGGGAAUCUUCCGCAAUGGGCGAAAGCCUGACGGAGCAACGCCGCGUGAGUGAUGAAGGUCUUCGGAUCGUAAAACUCUGUUAUUAGGGAAGAACAUAUGUGUCAGUAACUGUGCACAUCUUGACGGUACCUAAUCAGAAAGCCACGGCUAACUACGUG
rnacentral:rRNA from 1 species